rnacentral:sRNA from 1 species
GCUGGGCACGGUGGCACAUGCCUGUAAUAUGAGCCACUUGGGAGGCUGAGUCAGGAGGAUCAUGAGUUCAAAGCCAACCUGAGCAAUGGAGAGGUGCUUAGCAACUUAGUGAGACCCUGUCUUUU